rnacentral:misc_RNA from 1 species
GAAAUGCGAUAAGUAAUGUGACUUGCAGAAUUCAGUGAAUCAUCGAAUCUUUGAACGCACCUUGCGCUCCUUGGUAUUCCUUGGAGCAUGCCUGUUUGAGUAUCAUGAAAUCUUCAAAGUAAAUCUUUUGUUAACUCAAUUGGUUUCUACUUUGGUAUUGGAGGUCUUUGCAGCUUCACACCUGCUCCUCUUUGUUCAUUAGCUGGAUCUCAGUGUUAUGCUUGGUUCCACUCGGCGUGAUAAGUUAUCUAUCGCUGAGGACACUGUAAAAGGUGGCCAAGGUAAAUGCAGAUGAACCGCUUCUAAUAGUCCAUUGACUUGGACAAUACUUUUAUGAUCUGAUCUCAAAUCAGGUAGGACUACCCGCUGAACUUAAGC